rnacentral:tRNA from 1 species
CAGAACAAAGUUUAAAUAACGUUAAUUUUGGAGAUUAAAGAUCUGACAUAGCUCGGGGUUCUGA